CUAAGCCUUGGUUUUCUUCUGAGAAGGAAAGAGCAAAACAACAACACCCUUUUACCAGUGCUUUUUCAUCUGGUUGUGUGGGUGGUAUGUUGAAAUAAUAGUUUGGUGGAGAUUAAAGAAAAGCAUGACUGCUGUGUAGCUGCUAUCAGAAGGGGGAAUCCCAGCUCUUUAAAGAGUGUGCACAACUAGACGUGAGCAGUGUUAUUAUAGGGUUCAAAAGAAAAACCAGCCCAAACAAUCCCCUUCUCACCAAACCUCCCCUGGGUUUCCAGCGUGUGGAGCAGUGGGCCAGGUCUGUGACUGGGAGAUCUCUGCCAGCGUGUGGCUGCUGAGUCUGCUGGGUUAAAGCAUCUCCUGCAGAGAUGGGCAGCCUUGCUCUGGAGAUUCAAGGGAUGGAGAGCCCACCAGUCCCAUGAUGCAUUUGGUGUUUUGUCCCAAUUAUCAAAGAGCACUGAUGAAAUCUCUUCUUUUUCCAGUCUGGACCCAGCAGAAGACAGUGUGCUGUUGAUGGAAAAGGAUUACACCUGCUUUAAUACAUAAGGAACACACCUACUUCAACCUUCCCACCUAAAGCAAAGCAGUCUUUAGUUCCUGGUGUUUUCUUCAAUGUAAAUUCAAGAUACCUACAGAUUAGUCUUCCUACGUGCCGGUGCUGAGCAGUAAAGCACCUCAGCAGUCUCACUUUAGUGCCUGGUAAAAUUAUGGAGACUAAUCUGUGAGUUGUUGAAGAACACUUGGAAGACAAGGCAGACACUGGUCGCAGGCAGCACAGACAACUGUAAUGGAUCAAAUGGAAAAGCAGCCCUGACAGCUGGGUCUGAAACAUGCCUGCUGCACAUGCACCCUGCCAAAGGUCAUGCUCAAGGCCAGACCUGUGCUGGCACAGUUAGAAGCCUGUGGUGAUAGGAACUCAAGAGCAAGUGGUGUUUUGUGAAAACGUUUGUGCAGUUAGCCUACAUGCAGUCACAGUAAACUGAGAAGAGACUUCAUGUGAUGGAUAAAGCAAAUAAAAGACCAAAGAGCAGAAUUCCUUUGAAGAGUGCACACAUGGGCAGUGUGCAGACAACAGAAGGCAGCAAGAGUGGUUUUCCUGGGAAGCCAAAGGUUUGCCUAGUUUGAAAUCCAGCCUCCAGUGGUGCCUCAAAGCAGCUCCUGGGGAGGAGCAGUGUAAUGGGGGCAGCUCCCAGUGUCCUCUCCCCACAGCUGCUCCCUCAAUCCACAAGUUUGCAUGUCAGGGACUGUUUCAGCAGUGGUCUUUCUACUGCUAUGCACGAGCAUGGAAAUGAUUUCCCUACACCUCUGCCUACCUCGAACACCAGAUACGCACUCACGGUUCCUUUAUUCCCUUUUCUCAUAGUGCUGUACUGGGACCCUGUGCUGUGCCAUUCAUUAGUGUGUGCAAUCUCACUUCUCCAGCUCUCACAUCAAUUAUGGGAUAACUUUUAGUGCUUUACAGGACACAGCAUUGUUCCCUGCUACAGCCUUGGGAAACCCUGAAUCUGUCAUGUCUGGGCCAAACUCAUCAAAAUAGUAACUCAGUUUGGCAAGUAAUUCUUGUUCUUUGAAAGAUGCCAAUUACCAUUUCCUAUUCAUUUCUUUUUGACUGUACUUACCCAGUUCAUCCUGUUUACCCAUUUGGAGUAUUGAUAACUGUGAGCACUUCUUCAAAUGGAAGUAGGAGAGAGAUUAUGUCAUCUCUUCUGGGAAUGCUAAUUAUCCAUAGUGCUUAUUUAAAAUAUUUUUCCCUAGUAGAUCUUGCUUAUAAGACUCUUGAUGCAACUGAGCAAAAAUGUCCAUCAGAAGCCUUAUGUUAUACGUGCACAUGUUCUUACUUCUUUCUGAAUACAGACAAAUACCUAUUUAGUACUUUUUUAAAUUUCCAUCCAUUUUACUACCAGUCUUUAGUGGUAUUCCUGCACUAUUUUUAAGCUCCUUUUGUUCUUAGUAGAAGAAAAAUUACUUUCUUUGCUCUGUUCUGAGGUGUUUCUAUAUAGUUCUAAUUUUACUUACUAAUUUCUCUCAGUUACUUCAAUUUAAGUUAACUGGCAGCUGUUUCCCCCUUUCAAAGUUGUGAUUGCUUUUCAGCUUCACACUGAUUCCUUCACUUUGCUGCUGAACCAGGAUGAAAUUUUAAGUGUGAUCUGUUUGCACUCUUGACUUGGAAAUCCCGACUUUUUGACCAUCUGAUAAGUCCUUCAUCAAAGGCCUGAACUUUCAUUUGGGUUUUUCUGCCCACAUUUUGUCUAGCAGUGAAUCUGGAUAGUAAUUUUCCUUUGAGCUAGAGAAUGUACCUUUUUAAUGCUGAGUGUUUAGGGCAGACAAAUAAUCAGGUCACAAUCAGGUCACAAUGAUGCCUGGCAUUCAGAGGUCAACAAACUUUCUACCCAGAAUUUGGUUCACCAAGGUAUGUUGCAAUGAACACCCUCAUCAUGGGUGUGACCUCAUGGGUUAAAGAAUUCACUCAAAUGCUAUUUUUCUAUUGGCUAUUUACAUCUCUAGCAUGUGUCUCCCACGUGGAGCUCUGUGUGCAUACAGAACUCUUCUGUCCACAAAUUGGAUGAGGGUUAAAUGAAUAAUGGGUUUAAAGAACAAUCAUCCUGCCUUUUGACUCUGUGACUUUGUCUGGUGGUCUGUAGCAGAUCAUUCUGCAGAUACUCUCCCUGUUCUGCUGAGCAUCUUGUAAAUCUGACCCAGCAGCUCACAAUUCCACAGUGGUGGUAAACAGAACUGCCCCCAGUCUGCCCUUCCUAAUCAACAGUUUUAUUUCAGUAUCAGACAGUCAUCUCACUGAGCUUCCGUGACAUCAGCUGCGUCAAGUUCCAUCACAAGUAACUUUCUAUUCCUCUCAUUUCUUACUGGCCCUUCUAGCGCCUAUAUAAUUGACCACAAGUUCUCUUUUUUCAUCGUUCAGUGCUUUCAUCAUUCAGUCAGCAAGCUGCUGUCUGUGUGUGGAGUUGCAUGACACACAUUCUUGGCAGUAUUUGCUGUUGCUCCUCUAACCAGCCCUCUAUGGCCCUCUCUGAAAAUGUGGGCAACCCACAUUUGACACUAUUUUUUUUUUCAGCUUCUGAUGUCACCCUUCUUCCUCAAAGACAGGAGAUAAGCAAAAGCAAAUCUGCUUGCCUCAUACCCAUUGUGCUGGCCAUCUACAGCUUAUUCAUGAGUUGUCCUGCUUUGCUUUGGUACACCAGAAUUCAGUCAAAUACAAAUAAUUUUUUGUGUGUUCAGGCUAUUAUUUUAUGUCAGAUCUGGAAGGAUGAAAACAAGAAAGACCUGAAUGCUCAUGAGAAAACCUUUAGUUUUAGGAGGUUUCAAGAACAGUUUUGCUGAUCUGUUGAUACACGUGAAUAUUGACAAGUGAAACUGCUCCUGAGUCACAUCGUUGUUACAGUAAUGAAAAAUGAAACAUCAUCUGUAGUAUCUGGGUUGAGGGAAGGUGGCUGUGAAACGAGCUGUUGUGGUGGGAAUGUCUUUCCAGAAGGAGGAAAGAAGGGGAAUAUGAGACAGUAACAGUGAGUGUGUAUGGGGAGAGAAACACCAUGGGCCAGAGAGCCUCCCACUCUGGGAGCUGCUGCAGAACAUGGCAGGGCAGUGUCCAGCAGCACAGUCCCAGCUCCUGUCACCCAGCUCCCAAACCAUUGCAGGGCAGCCAAGUCCACUCAGGACUCACCCAGGUGGAGAAGUCCUUGGUUCUGGCUGCAGAGCCUGGAAUGGACGAGGGGAACAUAAUGGACAGUCAGAGGGCUGCUGAGGCAGAGAGAGACCAGGAUCCCAUGGAUGCUGCAUUAGGGGGGUGUGGAGAGGGUCAGAGUGAGCCUUGAGAACAGUAAGGAAUGUAAGGAUGGAGAAGAGUCAUCAUUUUGCCGUGUCUAGAAAAUUAGGACAAAACUUGUAGGUAUUACAGCCCAAGUAGGCACAAAAAGGCAGGAAGAGUGGGCUGGUGCAGGGAGGUAAGGGGGGUUUCUAUAGCCAUGGCAUUUGGGAUGGAAAGUUGGGGGGAAGAAUUUUGUGCUGCUGAAGGCAGGGAUGGUGAAGGAGGUGUGGCAAUUAUUGGUGUUGGCAAGAUGAGAAACGCCCCAGAAUGGUGAUGCUAUAGGCAAAGGUAGGAGUUACUGAGGUAAAGGUAGGAGGAGAAUCUGACUGCAGGGAGAAGUUAAGGAGACAGGAGAAGAGAAGGAAAAUGAAUUUGUCAUGAAAGAAGGCAUUGGCAGGAAGGGAAUGGGUCUAAAAGAAAGGUUUAUGUAGGAAGAGCAUUCUUUGAGCUGCUCUUCCUGCAAGAACAUGCAAGGGACGUGCAAGGUCAGAAUAACUGUGCAGAUGAAAAUACCCUUCUCAGUAAAGUGGUUGCUGUGAUGGGGAAUAGGGAUCAGUCUGCCAGAGGAGGGACUGGCAAAUGGGGAUGGCACCUUCACUGGCAGGGCCUGCAGAGCUGAUGUGAGGAGCAGACUGGGCUGAAGGUUCACCAGGGUGGAUCUGGAUGGAGUCGCCACUGGAUUUGUUAGCUUCUCCUCAGAGAUGAAAAUGGUAAGGAGGAGCUUGGAAAUAGAUACUGGGCAGGUGGACAGGCGUUAUCAGUUGUCCUGGGAAGUGAAGCAUGAAACCAUGGGUUUUUGGGAAUAAGAUGUAGCUACAAGAGAGCUGAGAACACCUUCCUCAAAUGGGGAAAGGGCUGGGAGAGCUACCCCAGGGCUUUAAGGAAAUGAACCGAGGAGCUCCCCCCAGCAGGGUGUUAGGAGAACAUCUAGUGGUGGCCUGGAGUUUCGUGGGGUUUCCCUCCAUCCCUGUGACUGGUGGCCCCAUGGUGUCUUCCCAAUGACUCAGGGGAUUUCCCGAGGCCCUGCUGAGAGCUCUCUCUGCAUGCAUCAAAACUGGUUUGUGGUUGGUUUCUUUUGAGCAUCAAAACUGCAAAAGAAAUUUUCUAGCUCCUCUCUGUCUGGGAAAUGGAGUAGUCACUGGGAAAGCACAUGUCAGAUGGGAACUGGGUUGUCUGUCUGUCUCUGCCAGCUUGUGUGUCCCCAGGCAGGACUUUCUGGGUAGCUGGAUGGUAACACCUACAGCCAGGGCUGUCACCACCUUGCCAGGGUCACAGCUCCAGGUCCAAAAGGCUGCAUGAGAGACUGAAUGCAGCCCUGCUUUUGGGGGGAAAGAUAACUUUCUAAUUCUAAUUUUUGCUACUUUACUUCUUUACUGCUCAUGGAUAACCACCACAGCUCUUCUCUCCUCAUGGACAUGUGUUUCCCAUGUGUCCAAAAGAUUCGCAUGGAUAGAAAAGAACAGCUCUGUCCAGAAAGCCUCUGGGGAGAAAACCUCACCCUGGGCCAGGAGCAGCUCAACACAGCUACCUCCUGCUGCUAUCAGGCUGCUUUUAAUUUUUUCCCUGGCUAUUUAUUACAGAGACCCCCUCAGUGGUGGUGAGGAGCCUGUGCAUUCUCUUGGUGUGUAAGCACUAGGCUGGUGCUCAUUUACAUUUUCUCUGUGUUGUGACAGGCUGGCUACCUCAAUAAAUACCCUCAAAUGCUUGUUGCCCGUGCUGAGAUUCUCUUGUCCUUGUGUGACUGAAGGGAUCUCACACACUUGCAUGCAGAGGACUCAAAGGAGGCACAGAAAAGCCAUCAUAAUGUAUUCAUCCAAAGAGAGCCCUUCACAGCUUAUGCAGUCGAGGAUAGCUUCUUGUUUUUUCUUGAGUCACUCAUUGUAAAACUAUUCAAGCUACUCAGGGAUAGAGAAAGUUAUCAAGGAGUUUAAAAGAGGCAAAUUCAGACAUGUCUUGGCUGUUCAGGCUGCACAUCCAACCUUUUUGCUUGUAGAUGGAAUGUAGCCGUUUCCAUGUUGAAAAAAUAACAUGACUAAGAUGUAGUGUGUUUGAAUAAUAAAACAACCCAGUCUGGGCCCCACUGAGUGAAA